UUGAUAAGCGUGAGGUCGGAGGUUCAAGUCCUCCCAGGCCCACCAAUUUACCUAUCCAUUUGCUUUUAUCCGUUUAUUUGCCGAUUUAUCGGUCCAUUGAAUUUAAGUGUUGGUAGCAGUUUUUAUAAUGAUGAGAAAUCAUGCUUAUAAAAGAACUUCUUAUAAAAGGCUUGUUUUUAAAAUGUGACGCUUAUCCAUUUUGCUUAGGCAAGAGAAACUUCAAGCGGUUCAAAUGCAAAAGGCUUUAAAUUUUGCAAAACAAUUUGAAUUUUAAAGUGAUCCAAGUUCGUGAUCUCGAAUUUAAAAGUUUCGAAUGCUUUAUCCUUUUUUGGGGGCCGUAGCUCAGCUGGGA
rnacentral:misc_RNA from 1 species